GAAAUACUUCACUUCCAUUCAUGGUGACCACCAAAAGAUUCAUCGGUAUCACCCUCAUGGUGUUGCUUGGCAUUACUUUAUGCUCCGCCACUAGAGCCCUGUAUAGUAUAGGGACCGAAACAUACGGUGCUGGUGCUGGGGGCGGCACUGGUGCUGGAUAUGGAGGUGGCGGAGGGAUCGCAGGUGGCGGAGGAGGGGGCGGGGGUAGCGGUGGAGGCGGCGGUUAUGCUUCAGCUGGAGGAGGUGUCAGUGGUGGGCAUGGUGGUGGAAGCGGUGGCGGAGA
rnacentral:misc_RNA from 1 species